AUAUAUAUAUAUAUUCUAAUUAAGUUGUGGAAGAACACCAUAGGUACAAUUACCGAUAUACGAGUAAUAAAGUAAACUAGCAGUUCACAGCUUACAAUCAAUCAGGGGUUACGGGAUGGGCAUGGUGUGUAGCAGGGUGGCCGCGGACCGUACGGAUAUUGAAGCAAAACCCGGCCGGCGGAGGCCAUCGCUGGCGCGUCCUGCAGCGCCGCCAGCACCAGAAGCAUCAGCGCGAGGAGCACCACCUGCCGGCCGAGGGACGCCGCCAUCGCCAUCGCCGACGACUACUGCUUGUUUCUAGCUAGUGAUCUAAAUUUUCAGGCUCACAGAUCCUAGCUGCUUUCUAUCUUGCUUCACUGUAAGAGUAGGAUAAGCUGCGGUUGCUUCACGGCAGGCCGGCCGGGGUUAUCCAGCCAAGUGGCCCUCUGGAAUUUAGUUUUGUUUUGUUUUCCACUGGCACAUGCGAGACUAUCCUUUGACUAGCUAGGUUAUUUCAGACCAUAUAUUAGUUCUGAUAUAUCAAAUUAUUUAAAGAAAUCGACAAAAUUUUAAAUUUCUAGAAAAUAAUAUUCCACAGACAACACUAGGAACAAGUCAUGCACAACUUUGAUAUAUGAAGUUUAGCUCAUGGAUAACAAGUGAAUUUUCUUUUCUUUUCUUUUUUUUUUCUUUCUUUUUUGGUGUGGCUUCUCUCUUUUUUUUUGUAUUUUUAACACCUUUCUGCCAUUUCUAUUUUUACGAUUUUCUUUAUUUUUUUACCACAACUGACCAAGAACCAAAAUGCAAAGCUACAUUGACUCAAAUGUAAAUAUCAAAAAUUACAGGGACCUAAUUGUAAAAUUGUCAUCCAAAAUUUUUUUCCCUAGAAAAAUGGAAUCCUAACAACAACCAGACGAUUCCGUUUUUAGCAACAAAUAAAAAUUUUCCAAAGCUACGUGGAAAGUCACACUAUAUAUCUAAACCGAGAACACGAGAACAGAGAGGUAGCGCAAGUGGAACUGGUAAAAGGGAAAAAUCACGUGGGACGGUGGGAGUGGGGCUGGCUGUAGACCGAAACAAACCAACUUUGGUGGUAGAUGGAAACAAACCAACUGAUCUUAAUCGUCGAAACUUCCUCCAAAAAACCGAUCUGUUAUAGCGAGUCAAUCAGAUGUGCUAUCUCGUCCUUCUUCCUCCUCACGUGCACCAACAGAAACAAGGCACAAGUAAACUGUAAACCGUAAUACUAAUGCAACUCCAAAACCGACCAAUAAGAAGUGCCCGAAACAAGAAAAACGGAACUCUCGCAAUGACGCAAUUCUGUUUUUCGAAGAUCCUGACAACAACUUAACGCGACGGUGAAGGUGGUAAAAAAACGUGCCAAGAACUUGAAACUCUAAACGACUAGAUGCAAACACUCGUAGAUUAACACAACUGAUGCAAUCGAAAACUCAACAAACCCUAACUAAGUAGUACCAGUAAAAGGCUCAAUGGUUUAUGGGAUCACGGAAAAACUAAUCUACUAAUAGAUAUUUGUUUGGGCCAUUUUUGGACCGUAGGUAUAAGAAAAUUACGAAACAAAUGAAAAUCUCUCACCGAGCAACUUGAGCUCUGAUACCCCUGAUCUUUCGAUGAGAAUGAUAAGUCGAUUGGAUGGAGCGACAUUGUGCAAUCCAACUAUAACUAUGCAGGGAUAUUGCCCUUAGCAAUUAUUACACCAACUCCAGAGACAGUCGUAAAUCUCGACGGAUGCACGAUCGGUCCAACCACGAGGGUAUUUGUUCCUGCAAGCAAUCGAGAACUAGCAAAAACAAGCUGAACAAACAAUUGAAUUUGCAAAUUAAAGAUGAUAGACAAGUUGAACAAGUGGGGUUCAGUAAAAAGCAAUCCGACGAUCUAACCGAUCACGAGAUUAACUCGGCAAAGUAGCGAUGCUAUACUUUGACCUAAACAAACCCGAUUAUUCUUGGUGGCGGCAGAGGGUCUGGGGUCGUUCUCUAACCCUACAUCGCGCCCCUAAUGGACCCAACUUAAUACAUGACCCAUUGGGCCCAAAGAAGGUGACGCAACACCAUGGAUAGAAAAAGACUCAGUAGUAAAAUGCAGAUUGCGGCCGCUCCAGAAUUGAUAUGGAUAUGGGGUUCGAUCCAUUUGAAAGUAGACUUGUCAAGCUUUCCAUGAGGUACUUGCGCACCCAAUUAGGAGUUCACAUGAAGUCGUGGCAGCCGUCAAAAGUCCGAAUCCAUCCUGCGCGAAUCGUCUCCCCAUUUAGAUCUCUCUAUUGUUCUUGAGUAAAACAAGAGUGCACGUGUCUCCGAGGUAUAAAAAAGAAGCAUAUGAAUUUAAGAAUGAACGCACCUGAUAGUUAAGUUGAUAUGCAUGAGCGCGGGUAAUAGGACCAUGAAGGUGUACUUGUGGAGGCGUGGAUGUGUAGUUGGUAUUGAUGUCCUCAUCACUCCUUCCCCAUAUAUUUGACAGAUGUUUCACCGUUCGUUUUAUUUAUUUUUUAAAAAAAAUAUAUAAAGCUAUAUAUAUGCAUAAAAAUAUAUUUAAAAAUAACUAAAAUGAUAUAAAUAUAAUUAAUAAUUAUAUAAAUUUUUAAAUAAGAUAAAUAGUUAAAUAUAUAUAAAAAGGUUAAUGACGUCAAAUAUUUAGGGAUAGGGGGUAUAUCCUAAUAAUUAAGUUGUGGAAGAACACAUACUUAGAAUUAAAGAUACACAAGUAAUAAAGUAAGCUAGCUGUUCACAGCUUACAAUCAGGCCGUACGCGGUGUGCAUGGUCUGUAGCAGGACUGAUAUUGAAGCAGAACCCGGCCGGCAGAGGCCAUCGCAGGCUUCUCAUAGUUUACGAUCGGGUUUUGUUUAGAUUAUUUCUAAAAUUACAGUUUUGCCGCUAGAUCGUUUUGUGGAACCCCAGAUUCGAGUGCUUAAUCAUUUAUAUGCAAUUGUGUUGUAAUUUAACUUGUUCUUACUUGUAUUCUUCAGUUCGCAUGCAGGGAUUAACCUUCUCGACGAGGUCAACCGGGUAGUACACAGUUGAUAAUCACAGAAGACGUAGUGCUGUGAUUACAAGGUUCACAUCGUGUUGAUUGAAAGCUGAAUCGUGUGUGUUAAGUUUCCACCAAAUUAAAGUUAUCAAUAACUAUUGGAACAUCAGGACCUACUUUCCUCAUCAAAAGGCCAUGAGGCUGUACAAACCUCCGUAUGGACUUAAACGGGCCCCAAGAGCAUGGAACCCAAUGUUGGAUGCCACUCUACUGGAAAUGGGAUUUGUGAGUCCCUUUUAGCAUGCUAUCUACGGGAGAAAGACGUGUGGAGGUAUGUUAGUUGUGGGGGGUGUAUGUGGAUGAUUUGGUAAUCAGUGGCUCCCAACUUCAGGAAACAAAAGUUCAAGUCAGGAAUGCAACAUGAAUUCAGUAUGAGUGAUUUGGGGCUGCUCAGUUUCAACUUGGUAAUGCAGGUGCAGAAGAAUGACAAAGGCACUGGUUUGUGUCAGUCUUCAUAUGCACUAAAUAUUCUGAAGAAAGCUAGUACGGAGGGUUGUAAACCCUGUCAUGUGCCAAUGGAAGCCAGGCUGAUGCUGGGUAAAAAAGUUCAAAUUCACCAGUAGAUGCAACUGAAUACAAAAGUAUUAUUGGUAGUCUCAGAUACUUAAUCAAUUCAAGGAGAAGCCAACUACAGAGCACCUAGCUACAGCCAAACAUCUGUUGAGGUAUGUACCUGGUAGUUUGAACUGGGGAUGUUGGUAUGGCAGAAAGGGAGCAAGUGACCGGAUUAUUUUUGGACACUGUGACAGUGAUAUGGACGGUGAUGUUGAUGAUAGGAUGAGCACCACUGGCGUAUUUUUUCUUAUUACGACAAAAUCUGAUCAAUUGACAGUCUAAGAAACAGAAGAUUGUAGCAUUGUCUUCUUGUGAGGCAGAAUAUGUGGUAGCAACAGCAGCAGUAUGCAAUGGAAUAUGGUUGGCUCGUUUGUUGUCAGAAGUGACUGGGGAAGAUAACGCAUCUGUAGUAGUAAAGAUUGAUAACACUUAUUAGUUAUCAUUGUGCAAGAAUCCAGUACUGCAUCAUCGAAGUAAGCACAUAGACACUCCGUUUCAUUUUUUCCAUGAGUGUGUUGAGAAAAAGGAGAUUGCAGUAGAGUAUGUGCCUACGGAUGAAUAGAUUGCAGAUAUUCUGACCCAAGUCACUGGUCGUGCCAAGUUUCAGCAAUUGUGAGGCAAGCUUGGUAUGAUCGAGUUGAAGCAACAAGAUUAGGUGGAGUUUGUUAGAUAAUCUAGUUGCUGUUAACUUCAUUUCUGAAUAAUGAUAUGAGUCGUACUGCGUUCACGGCAUGAUUGAGUCGUAGGUUCAGUUCGAGUCUAGCGUAUUUUCAGUUUUCAGUUAGCAGGUUUGAAGCUGCUGCAAUCACUGGGAUCGGUCGUGGGAUGUCGUGGCCUUGUAGGAUCGCAUUGGCAAAAGCGUUGCUUUUCCGUUGUACGCAAUCCCUAUGAUUCAGGGAAUAAAUAAGAAAGAAGAACCAGAAAACCGCUGCACGAUUUGCAGCCUGAAACUCUGGACUUCUUUUUCCCUUCAGUUACUGUAGCUCGCAGGAAAAUCGUUUAGAAACCAAGAUUCAGAGUGAAUCCAUGUUACGUUGAGAGCCACAAAAUACAAAAGAAAGAACGGGAGUACAACUUCCAAAUUAAAUGAAAAAUUUUGCUCGCGUUUGUAGUACGGUAUGUAUGAAAGAGCAACUGAUAUACAUCGAGAUACAUAACAGUAUUGCCACAUAUGUCAUCUGACAACGAGAAACUUUAUUUUCAAAUACUAAUUCGAUCUGAUCGAGGGCUAGCUGAUCGAGAAUAUAUACGUAUCACAUGCAUUCGAACACACGUGUAAUAUAUUAUCCCAAUUAAUUAGUUGCGGAAGAACACCAUACGGAGGAGAAUUACUGAUACUAGCUGCAAGUUGGACCACAGCAUACAAUCAGGGCUUACGCGAUGCGCAUGGCGGGUAGCAGUACGGAUAUUGAAGCAAAACCCGGCCGGCGGAAGCCAUCGCCGGCGCCUCCUGCAGCGCCGCCAGCACCAGCAGCAUCAGCGCGAGGAGCACCACCUGCCGGCCGAGGGACGCCGCUGUCUCCAUCGCCGACGACUCCUGCUUGUUCUGUUGCUAGUGAUCUAAAUUCGCAGAUCCUAGCUGCUUGCUAGCUUGCUUCACUAUAGGAGUAUGAUUUGUACACUGUUUAUAGGAAUAGGAUAAGCUGAGAUUGCUUCACGGCAGGCCGGCCUGGGUUAUCCAGCCAAAUGGCACUCUGGAAUUUAGUUUUGUUUUCCACUAGCACUUCCCAUACCAUCCUUUG
rnacentral:lncRNA from 1 species